CAUCCGAGUUGUAAUUUAGAGAAGCGUCUUCCGCGCUGGACCGUGCACAAGUCUCCUGGAAUGGAGCGUCAUAGAGGGUGAGAAUCCCGUCUUUGGCAUGGACCCCAGGGCUUCUGUGAUGCGCUCUCAAAGAGUCGAGUUGUUUGGGAAUGCAGCUCAAAAUGGGUGGUGAACUCCAUCUAAAGCUAAAUAUUGGCGAGAGACCGAUAGCGAACAAGUACCGUGAGGGAAAGAUGAAAAGCACUUUGGAAAGAGAGUGAAACAGUACGUGAAAUUGUUGAAAGGGAAACGCUUGAAGUCAGUCGCGUCGACCGAGACUCAGCCUUGCCUUGGCUUGGUGUACUUCUCGGCUGACGGGUCAGCAUCAAUUUCGAUCCUUGGAUAAUGGCAAGGGAAAGGUAGCACCUUUACAGGUGUGUUAUAGUCCUCUGUCGCAUGCAAGGGUUGGGAUUGAGGAACUCAGCACGCGCCUUGUCGGUGUCGGGGCCUUUUGGCCUACGUACGUGCUUAGGAUGCUGGCAUAAUGGCUUUAAACGACCCGUCUUGAAACACGGACCAAGGAG
rnacentral:rRNA from 1 species